rnacentral:rRNA from 11 species
ACUAUAGACCUAAAUACCUUAAAGGCAUCAGAUCCUGUCUGAUCUUGGAAACUUAGCAAGGACAACUCUGGUUAGUAUUUGGAUGAGAGCCUGCCAGUGAAUUCCAAGGGCUAUAGGC